UCAACGAAGAUUGAAGAAAAAGUAUAUUUGUCAAUGUGUAUUUUUGAGCAGUAAUUUAUUACAAAAUGUUGCAAAAUAUGUAUGCAUAUUUAUUCAUAUACUUGUGGUACACAUAUUAAAUAUGUUUUACACCACCUAUUUUUACACCAUAAAACACCAAAAAAAUACUAUUUACAUAUAAAUAUACAAUAAGCCACCUGAAUAUGUUUCCACAAUGUUUUAUUUAAGUUGGGAUUAGCUGUUCAUUGCAAUGUGCAGGAGUUUAAAUAUAACGACUAACGAGAUUUGUAUUUUAUGAUUUCGGAAACUGAUAACCGCUCAUUCCACCAACUGAACGUAAAUUUCGGGAAUUUACAAGUGCAUGUUAUAAGAGUUUAAUUUAAGCCUGGUUCCAACUUCCGAGAGUUUACCCCCAGCAGGUUUAGGGACUGUCCCUUACCGUAAUUUUAAUUAUUCCCACGACUUGUUUUGGUUGCAUUGCCAUUGUCUUUCUGUUCUAUCAAAGUCCACGACGUUGUUCGUUUCAUGAAGUAUUGCCCAAAAUGUCGUGUAAGUGUGCCUUAUCUUAAACUAAGUAGUUAGUGUGACAUGCAAAGUUGCAAACUGUCAUUUUGCGCGUUUUUGCAGCAUUGUUGACAGAGUGAUGACAUGCCGUGUGCGUAAUUCCUCGAUGACUUUGCUGGGAAAAUGUCUGUUUUUGCUGAUCACCGCACCUCACAUGAUCUUCGUAUGUUUUGUCCACAUUUUGCAGUGACAUUUGCAACAUGUCGCCUACGCAUUUUGCGUUGUGUUGUGUUGUAAAUAAUCCAUGCGAAACUGGACACCUGCCAAAGUGGCGGUUGUUGACGCUAUCAAGUUUUACGCAUUUUUUGCUAGUAUUUUGAACAAAAUUCCUGCAAAUGCAAUAAAAGCUGAACUGAGCGCAUAUUAGUUUAAAUAUGUAUCAGCGCAUAUAU